rnacentral:rRNA from 1 species
GAUGAACGCUGGCGGCGUGCCUAACACAUGCAAGUCGAACGGAAAGUCCGUGCUUUUGUUGGCUGCUCGAGUGCCGAACGGGUUAGUAACAGGUGGGUGAGUUACGCGUGAGUUUGGUGUCAUUUCAGGAGAGUGGGGAUCAUGCCAGGUCGGGUCUGCUGCUGCAUGGCGGGGAAUGGGCAGGUUCGGCGGGUGGGUAUGGCCUUGCGGCUUAUCAGCUUGUUGGUGGGGUAGAGGCAUACCCAGGCUUUGACGGGUAGCCGGGCUGAGAGGGUGACCGGCCACGUUGGGACUGAGAUACGGCCCAGACCCCUACGCGACGCAGCAGUGGGGAAUAGUACAUAGCGGGAGGAAGGCUGAUGCAGCAAAGCCGCGUGCGGGAUGAGGGCCAGCGUGUUGGAAUCCGCAGUCGCCUGAGAAGGGGCGAGAGUGACGGUAAUGGGUAAAGAAGCACCGGCUAACUACGUG